GAUUAUUAGUUAAGCUGAAAAUCACUGGCAGUCCAGUUCUUUAUUGUGUUUAAUUUAGUUGAGUUGAUUGGGUUUAAUUUACGGGAAAAGGCCUAAAUCUUGAAAGAAGAUGGCCAGACUCCUGUCUCUUGUACUUUUGUUGGGUGUUUUGUUGAUAUUUCUUGGUGUGAACUGCAGCAGCUUUGUGGCGUCUCGUAUGUUAUGGAUUCUGAUGGCUGCAGUUUUCUUCUUGUUCUUAUUAAACUUUGUUGGUUUGCCUGUCUUUUAGCAGAGAAGGUGACCAUAUGAAGUCAUCAAAGGACAAAUACAGCACCAACGAUGUUAGAGGAGGGAUACACCUGUUUUUCCUCAGUUUAACCUCCUCUAGAAGCCUAAAAGUGCAUCUAAGGGUUUGGAAGAUCCUCCAUGAUGUCGGAAGAGGAAAAAUUCUCGGGCCACCAGAGGAGAGAGGAUGCGGGAGGCGUCCUCACCGGCGGCCUCCAAAAUCACUCCUACGAUACCUCGGCGAGACUUUUCUUGCGUUGCGAGGUGUGGGGGGGGGGAAAAAGUAUGAUGAAACUGCGAAACAAUCACCAAUGUGGUGACACAUUUCUUGAAGGUAAGCAAUUUCCAUGCAUGUUAAGAGCUUAGCAUCGACGCAGCACUAUUCAUAUCAGUUUACCAUUAUGAUGCAAAUGAUAACAGUGGUGCCUGGCUCCCUUGUCUUCUCCCUUUUCUUCUGCACUUUCUACCAUGAGCGGCUACAGAUGCACACCUACAUUGCAGCGUUCACACACACGAUAAAAUUCACCCAGCUCCAUUGCUUAUCCCCUUUGUUUGAGCUGAUUGGAUCUGUGGCGAUCACAUGUUUACCCAGAGCGCUAUCUCUUUGAGAAACCUCCGUCACGGGUAGCGGAGAGUAACGUUUGCCUCUUUUUGUGUUUUCCUUUUAUUUUGGAGACGGGCACGCACACACGGUCUUUAUGUAUAUAUGCUAAUAGGCUGGCUAACACGGUUUCACACUGUUUGUUUCUGAAAAUGAUGCAACUUGCCAGACAUCCUUUUUUUCCCUUUUUUUUGCUGAUGUUCACAGUUUCUUUUUUCUCUCUCUCUCUUUCCCCUCGCUUUUUUCUCAAGGUGGCGGGCAUUUUGGAGAGAGAGAGAGAGAGAGAGAGGAAAGGGAAGAAGAAGAAGAAGGCAGGGAGGGGAAGAGGAGGACGAGGCGAGGAGGGGGAGGCGUGUGUUCAAAAUCCACAAAGGUUUUGUAAUAAAUGCAUCGGCGACAAUAAAAACAAAAACAUUAAAGGGAGAAAAGACGUGUUUCUGUGUUAAACAAUUAGUGCUGCAGCAUUAGAGCCGAUCAGGAGGAGACAAAAGCUCGGCAGCAGCAGGGGUUUACCCCAGACACAAAGACACAAAGACAGAUGCUCUGCAGCCCAGCCAAGCUACACCACCACACCAGCUUCCAGUGGAGCUGCAUGGAACCACAUCCACCAUCCAGCCGUCUGUAGGUCUGCAGCAGAACGGCAAAGGAACGGAACUGGAACACUUCUACACGUCUGCUCUGAAAUACGCUACUAUAUCUCAAGCACACCAGCUCACCUCAAAAAUCCCCAGUUCGCAUCCCGGUCUUCCUGGGAUCUUUCUGCAUGGAGUUUGCAUGUUCUCCCUGUGCAUGCGUGGGUUUUCUCCAGGUUCUCCAGCUUCCUCCCACAGUCCAAAAACAUGCUGAGUGUAUUUGGUCCACCGAUGUUCAAGCUUCCCUUCAUGGAAGAUGGUCACAUCUUGAGCCUCCAGAUUCUCCUUAAGAGCACACAUGACCUCAUCAUCACUCUGAAAAUGGCAUCCAAGCAAGUGAGGCUGAGAACUUUGAAGUACCCUUUUAUAGAAGAAUCUGUCCAAUAUCAACACCACUUCUACUGCGUGUGUGUCAUCGGUAAGG